rnacentral:rRNA from 1 species
AUUGAACGCUGGCGGCAGGCCUAACACAUGCAAGUCGAGCGGAAACGAGAUAUCUGAACCUUCGGGGAACGAUAUCGGCGUCGAGCGGCGGACGGGUGAGUAAUGCCUGGGAAAUUGCCCUGAUGUGGGGGAUAACCAUUGGAAACGAUGGCUAAUACCGCAUAAUAGCUUCGGCUCAAAGAGGGGGACCUUCGGGCCUCUCGCGUCAGGAUAUGCCCAGGUGGGAUUAGCUAGUUGGUGAGGUAAGGGCUCACCAAGGCGACGAUCCCUAGCUGGUCUGAGAGGAUGAUCAGCCACACUGGAACUGAGACACGGUCCAGACUCCUACGGGAGGCAGCAGUGGGGAAUAUUGCACAAUGGGCGCAAGCCUGAUGCAGCCAUGCCGCGUGUGUGAAGAAGGCCUUCGGGUUGUAAAGCACUUUCAGUCGUGAGGAAGGUAGUGUGUUUAAUAGAUGCAUUAUUUGACGUUAGCGACAGAAGAAGCACCGGCUAACUCCGUGCCAGCAGCCGCGGUAAUACGGAGGGUGCGAGCGUUAAUCGGAAUUACUGGGCGUAAAGCGCAUGCAGGUGGUGUGUUAAGUCAGAUGUGAAAGCCCGGGGCUCAACCUCGGAAUUGCAUUUGAAACUGGCAGACUAGAGUACUGUAGAGGGGGGUAGAAUUUCAGGUGUAGCGGUGAAAUGCGUAGAGAUCUGAAGGAAUACCGGUGGCGAAGGCGGCCCCCUGGACAGAUACUGACACUCAGAUGCGAAAGCGUGGGGAGCAAACAGGAUUAGAUACCCUGGUAGUCCACGCCGUAAACGAUGUCUACUUGGAGGUUGUGGCCUUGAGCCGUGGCUUUCGGAGCUAACGCGUUAAGUAGACCGCCUGGGGAGUACGGUCGCAAGAUUAAAACUCAAAUGAA